AGCAUGGUGGCAAUUAGUAUAAGUAAUGCCACCGUAUACAAUGUAUAUCCAGUCAUUGCAUUAGGACUCAAUCAUAAUGGAACUAUACUUUAUCCUAAGGAGCAUAAAGUAUGGGCUGAUCAAAAGGGAGGAAAGUGGCAAACAAUUGAUGUGAAUGCGUAAUAACACACUCGAAGCCCAAGACAUUUGUCUUGACACUGAACAAAAUAUUUGCCACUUUGAGAUACAUCCUAAUGAAACCCUCGAGUGUAAUUUUACCAAAAUUCUAGGAUGUGAUUUUAGUUACUCUGCUCCUGUAACCUCUUAUCAACUGAUUGCAUCCAAUUAUAUUCUGCUUCAUGAUCUGCUGCCUACUCCUAUUGGAAUGAACGUCACCUUGGUGAAGAAAUUGCUGAUACAUGAGGACUUGAAGCAGCUGAUGAGACAAAUUCAAGAAAAUGGAAGAGAGAUGAAAGACACCAUUGGUGGGACACUGUUUGGAUGGUCACCAGCUGCCAUGGGAAUCUUCAACAGAUGCUUCACCCUGUUGUUGUUUUUUUAAUACUCACUGUAUUAUGCUUUAUACUGACAAUUAGUUUCUAUGUUAAACUCUGGAUUAUGGUGAAAUGUUUAGCAUCCCUGCACAAUGUACAUACACUCGAUAAACCUCGUCUCGAGAAUGUAUGUGAUAUCCCCAAUAUAUUCCAAAUGUCGUGAAGCUUGAGUGACUAUAGUCACAGGGUGGAUUAUGUGGUGCAAUUGCCUAAAGUAACUAGGAAAAUAAAACUAACAUUCAUAUUUUAAAGAAAAUGUACAGCAUUGAAGAGGCUUUUAGGGUAGGGCGUAGCUGCAUUACCCGAGCGUUCCCUAGGCUUCCAACCUUAGAUGCUAUCACACUGGGGAAACCUGGUGUGCUGGCUCUAAGGAACAGCACGGAGCAUAGAGUGGAGUGGAGACACCACGGCUAGGCUCUGUGACCAGGUGGGGACUCGAUUGUUCUUGUGCACACCAAGACCGAUAAGCCGCACUUUUUGCUACCCUGAG